AGUGGAAUAGUUAGGUCAUAUAGUGGUUCAAUUCCUAGUCUUUUGAGGAAUCUUCAUACUACUUUCCAAAUUGAUUGUACUAAUUUGUAGUACCACCAAUAAU
rnacentral:pre_miRNA from 1 species